rnacentral:rRNA from 1 species
CGGAGGGUGCAAGCGUUAUCCGGAUUCACUGGGUUUAAAGGGUGCGUAGGCGGGCAGGUAAGUCAGUGGUGAAAUCCUUGAGCUUAACUCGAGAACUGCCAUUGAUACUAUCUGUCUUGAAUAUUGUGGAGGUAAGCGGAAUAUGUCAUGUAGCGGUGAAAUGCUUAGAUAUGACAUAGAACACCUAUUGCGAAGGCAGCUUACUACGCAUACAUUGACGCUGAGGCACGAAAGCGUGGGGAUCAAACAGGAUUAGAUACCCUGGUAGUCCACGCCCUAAACGAUGAUUACUCGACAUUUGUGAUACACUAUAAGUGUCUGAGCGAAAGCAUUAAGUAAUCCACCUGGGAAGUACGACCGCAAGGUUG